CCAAAGGCUCUUUUAAGAGCCACCCACGAGUUCAAAAAGAGCUGUU
rfam:Chelonia mydas contig258333, whole genome shotgun sequence.